CCCAGGUACUCUUCCCCAGGACUGCCAGGGGAUGUCGCUCCAAAGCUCACCCCUGUGGGAGAGGCACUGGCAGCAAACCCGUGGUUCGUAGCCAGCAGGGCAGGGCUCCCAGCACAUUUCAAGGAUCAGGUGUCCGCAUCAGAAACACAACCCAGCUCUAGGUGCCCCAGAUCACUUUGUGGGGAGUAGAGCUUUUUCUUUCAUGCGCCUGGACCAGUACCGCACUCGCUUCUGGAAGCCAGUGGCCCCGGCGACGGCUGAGCCCAGCAACUUUGGAACGUGGCAGAAGAAGGAGCAAGGAAGUCUGGCUUUGCGCGGCCCUGAUGCCAGAAGUAUUGCGUAUCCACAGGAGAAAUCGUCAUGCCUUCCCACCCGGCCUAGAAGAGCUUUUGAAGGCCGGCUCAUCAGCAAGGCCUUGUUGGCCCUUCCAACGUGUCACAUGGAGUGGAUAGCCCACGUCCAUCGGAAACUCCGUGGUUGGCUAAGGAUGCACCCUGAAUCCCAUGGCUGCUGUCCUGAUAAGGAGAGGAGAGGACACAGAGAAACACAUCCAUGUAGAGACAGAGGCAGAGAUUGGCCUGAUGCAGCCACGAGCCAGGGAACAUCUGGGACCACCAGAAGUCAGAUGACGCAGGCAAGGACUCCCUCCUAAAUCCUUCAGGGCGAGCACCUUGACUUUGGACUUCUAGCCUCCAGAACGGUGAGCUAAAGCCACACGGCCCGUUGCUAUUUGCUACCGCAGCUCUCAGAAACUUCUUACCGAACAGAAUUUCAACGGUUAACAAAUCGUACAGCGGAACCACGGCAGAGCGAUCCGUACGGCGGCAUCUGGUCCAAGCUCCUUGUAUUCUAGAAACUGAAUAGCCGGGAAGCUGAAGCCCACAGCUAACAAUGAGUCGCAGACGAAACUGGACCCAAGAGUCCGUCCGAUACUCCUUCCUGACACUCCCUCUCUAAGGGAACGGCGCUGGGAAGGCAGUGGGGGGAUGUCCCUUCUCUGUCCCUUGCUCAGUCCCCUUCCCCGUGCCCACCCCUCUGGCCCGUUUGUGCUACCCCGGGCCACCCUGCCUUGUUUGGCUGCUGGAACCCUUGCCAAAACCCAUAUUUAGUUGUUGAAAGAACCUUGCCUGAGUGCCUCUGAAGUUAAUGAUGGAAUCUUUGAAAAUGACAUUAGAAGCAAAACAUAAGCAGCAGAAGACAUGAAACUACCUCGAGUCCAUCUGUUCGACCACGAUCCACCUCAGAGCUCCCAUUUCUCAUGUAAAACAGGAGAUAUGAUUUAUAAUUUAUAUCUCACCGGUACAACCCUGAUUGAAGCAAGCCACUUUGAUGAAACGUUGGUUUCAUGCUAGUGGAACACCAUUCCAAAUCAGAGAAUAUUUAGAACUCUAACUCCUCUGCCGCCACUUUGAAGUAGAAAAAUUUGUAUUUUAUGUGCUUUUCUUAUAAAAAAAAAAAGAAAUAAAGAAAGAAAAAAAAGAAAAAAGAAAAAUAUGUACGCUCCAACAUGCAUGUGGCGGAAAGGCGAAAACGUUUACGUGCGAAUCAGCACCGAAAUGUAAUUACCGCUUUAAGCAUUGAGAAUAUUUAUAGACUCGUAUCUCGUGUUGAAGACCUGGUUCCAAUAAUUCUCAGAAAAUUGCAAAAUUCAUACUUUGUUUUCUUGGGACUAACUUAAUUUGUUUGAAAUCUACAACACAUGAAGAACAAAAUCAAAGAGCGUCAACUUUCCAUCAGCUCAGCUAAUGAUCUAAUAAAGUUGUUCGGAGUAGA